GACGGCUCCCCCACGGGGAAGCAAGAGGGAACACGGUGAAAUUCCGUGACUGCUCCCGCAACUGUAAGCGGUGAGGAACGUUCCACGCAUGCCACUGGGCAGCUUAGGCUACUUGGGAAGGCGGGGCGUAUCCGGUGAUCCGCAAGUCAGGAGACCUGCCGUCGCG
rnacentral:ncRNA from 1 species